GGUCUGCUUUGUAUUUUUUUUUAAUUAUCCUUCCAUGUCUGUGGGGUUUAUAGUGACAACUCCAUCUGUACACUCUCCUUUUUGUCAGUAUUGCCAGACAUUUAUGAGUUUUACUAAUCCUUCUGAAAAACCAGCUUUGGUUUCAUUGAUUUUUCGCUACUGUUUCCUUCUUUCAGUUUCAUUGAUUUUUCGCUACUGUUUCCUUCUUUCAGUUUCAUUGAUUUCUGCUCUUUACUAUUUGCUGCCUUCUGUUUGGUUCAGGUUUAUUUUGCUCUUUUUUUUUUUAAAGUUUCUUAAGGGAGGAGCUUAUAUUAAUAAUUUGAGGCUAGGCGCGGUGUCUCACGCCUGUAAUCCCAGCACUUUGGGAGGCUGAGGCAGGCAGAUCAUUUGAGGUGGGGAGUUAGAGACCAGCCUGGCCAACAUGGUAAAACUCCAUCUCUACUAAAAAUACAAAAAUGUGCCAGGCAUGGUGCUGCAUGCCUAUAAUCCCAGUUCCUCAGGAGGCUGAGGCAGGAGAAUCACUUGAACCUGGGAGGGGGAGGUUGCAGUGAGCCAAGAUCACAUCACUGCACUCCAGCCUGGGUGACAGAGCAAGACACCAUCUCAAAAAAUAAUGAUGAGAAUGAUUUGAGACCUUUCUUCUUUUCUAAGAACCUUCCCAACUGGAGAUGUGAAACGGUCAUUCUCCAUCCACUCACCUGGUUUCCUGCCACAGAGAUAGAAGGCUAGUCUGUCCGUUAGCUCAUACUGUAUUUCCACGAGGCGCUCUGCCAGCUCAUGGUGCCCUCCUUGCCUACCAAGAGAAAACAAAGUACCAUUUAUAUUGCUCACUAUUCACUGACUUUAAAAUGGAGUACAAAGACGUCUCCUGAGACACCUGAGCAGUUUAUCACACAAGACUUUUGAGAAUCAUCAACCUUCUUGUGUGCUCUGUGAAAUAAUGAAGCACCAUGCAAUACUGUACUCCUGCUGUUAUUCCCAGACCCACUCUGUUCUUUCCAGUCAGGUCUCCUGCUGUGCUGAACACACUUUGUCCCUCCCUGCCUCCUGAUCUUGACUCCUGCCUUUCCUCUUACCUGGAAUGCUUCAGCUCUCCCUUCACACAUUCAAAUCCAACCCAUUCUUCAAGACCAGCUGAAGAAAUUUCUUAAAUGAUUUGGACCACAAUGAAGAAACCCUAUAUAUGCUUUUUAAGACCAAUUAUCUAUUUUGGCAAUGAAUCCCAUAUGGUCUUGCCUCCUUGAACUCUUUCAGGCAUUUAUGAAUCAUCUUUUCCAAGAGAGUAAAUUCUGGGAAGGCAGAGUUUUGUUAUUCACCCAUUUUAUCCUCUGUGGAACAGAGUAUUGUGCUUCACAGUUAAUAAAAGUACUUUGGAAAAAGAA